UAUAUAUAUAUAUAUAUCAAGUUAUUUUCUAUUUUUACAUGCAAAGGGAGAAAAACAUGGUUAAAAUUCUUAUGUUUUUUUGUAUUAUGAUCCUUUUUCUUUCCAUAUUUAUUGUUGCAACUGACAUCGAAGAAGAUCUUUUAAAAUGCGACACUUACUCUGAUUGUCCGUCUCAAAUGUGUUAUAGUUUUCUUAAUUUUAUUGUGAAGUGUAUUAACAACCGAUGUGAUUGUGUUCGUGAGAAAGAUUUAGGACCAUGAAUCCCUUAUAAUAUUUCAUGAGUAAUCAUUUAGUUAUUGUAUGACAACCAAUAAUUGAUUUUUUUUCCCUUUCCUUAAGGACCUUGCAUUAACGACUUUGUACUUUAAGAUGAUCCUAAUGGGAAAAAAAAUUUAUUAUUAUUUGAUAUUA